rnacentral:rRNA from 1 species
GUCUGUGGCCAUGCCACCCUGAACGUGCCCACUCUCGUCUGAUCUCGGAGGCUAAGCAGGUCGGGCCUGGUUAGUGCUUGGAUGAGAGACUACCUAGGAAGACCAGGUGCUGCAGGCG